GGAGAGGUGUCCGAGCGGCUGAAGGAGCACGCCUGGAGAGCGUGUGUAUCCUCUGGGUACCGUGGGUUCAAAUCCCACCCUCUCCGC
rnacentral:tRNA from 2 species